AUGAUUGAGCUGGAUCUACUAAUUGAAUUCCUACUAAUUUACAGCAUUUAUAUAAAUGAGGCACAAAUCUCUCCCAUCCAGGGCUGUGUUGGUGCUAACUUUUAUCCCCAGCUCAGUACAAAGCUGGCUCCCAACCUCCAAUGUAGUUCUAGGGUAGAGACCCAGCAGGCUAGCAGCAUUCAUAAAUCUGGAUCCAUACAGCAAGACUCGUGCUUACUGGAAUGGGCUAAAGUGUCUUUGCAAGGCUACAGCAGAGUGGAACUGAAGAGCACCUGUGUCCCAGCACUUUUCAUUCUCCAUCAUCCCCUAGAAUUUGAAUAUAACUGGACUGAAGUUACAAGGAAGAAUUGGAUGGAGCCAGUAGGGUUAACACUGAUACUAACAGGAGAUUACUAGCCAUAAGAAAAUUACAGCUCUUCUGAAAGACAGUGCCUAAAAUAGCAGCAUAUCCUUGGCACCAUCAUAGGAACUGGUUAACUGAUGACCCUGAAGAAACACUUGUUUCCAUUAAUUCUGCUGUCAUUAUUUCGCUAUUCUCGACUCUUGCUCUCAAUUCUUCUGUCCUUCUGAUCCCAAGACAAGAUGGCAGGAACGUGAGAGAGAACAUAAAGAAAUUACAGUAAGCUGUCGGCCAUAUAAUUGUAUUGUAACCUACUACACUGAGAAGUUACACCAACAGAAAUUUGGCAAGGUAUUGGCUGCUAGUUGCUAACUAAACACAGGACACUCACUAGCAUAACAUUUAAAAAAAAUAAAAUAUAAAAUAAAAAAAAUAGGCUCA
rnacentral:lncRNA from 1 species